AGAGUAUCACUCCAGUGAGUGAUCUCCUUUAAAGAACUAGGUAAAUUUAAAUUUAGUUUUUUUUUGACAAUGAGAGUACUUAUUGGUGUGUAUAUGUCCUUAAAAGCUAAAACUCAUCUGAGUCCUGUAGACAGGUCGGCAGGCAGCAGGCG
rnacentral:lncRNA from 1 species